rnacentral:lncRNA from 1 species
CUAUUAACUGCAUUAUGAUUAACUAUAUUGCAAUAUAUUUGUGUGAUUAAUUUCCUGCAACAAUUCCAUGGUAACGUCUCUGCCAACAGUCGGUGAGUGUAAUUUGUUGACGGUCCCUAAAACAGGUAGCAGCCAGAACGUAAAUGACGUUGUUGCACAGACAUUGAUGGCGACAACAUGUGUUUGUGAUUUUUUGCGAUACGGUGUCCUAAACCGUCCUCAGCAUACUAAGCCCGGGAGAUUUGGAGGUACCUGGUCAGGUCUUGGUCAGCCUUCAAAUCCAAGAUGUGGAGACUGCAGGGAUGCCUCACAGAGAAGACACUAAAGAGUCAUCUCUCAUUCAUCGAGUGGACUCAUUGGUUUGCGAAUGACCACAAAGAUGCUCCCAUAGGCAGAUUGCUGCAUGGCAUUCACCACUUAUUCAAAUUGUAGAGGUUGAAGUCACCUUUCGGCGAAAUUCGCCGUUUUGAAGACAAAAUUGACCACUUGUGUGAUUCGUGGAGAUCCGUUGAGAAAACAUUUUUGGGGGGGGGGGGUCUGAUGGCCAGCCAUGGAGUCCUUGUAGCGCCUGCUAAUACAUACAUUCUCAAUGGAGAGGCGAGCGGACAUAGAGAAGGCGCAGCAUUCUGUCAGGCGGCACGACAAGUGGGCGCACUCCCGUGGAACUGUCGCUUCGGUGCUCGUCGGAGGCAUGCGCUCGCUCGUGAAGCCGCGUGGCCAACCGACAGCGCGAGCGGAAAGUCGCCUACCAUCUGAAACGGCCAAGCGUGAGCCCACCGGAGCCUUUAAAUGAUUCGUUUCCACCGAGCCUUUCCACCGCCGACAGUACCCUCAUGGUAGGCCGGAUGUCGAUCGCCGCGGCAGCUACGUAAACAUCCUGAAGGUGAACGACGAGAACUGAUUCCCAAAACAAACAUGACAAAAAUAUGGUCACGUAAAUAAAAUAUAGAAACGAACAGAGCUUCGUCUCCCCGCGACCUUAUAUUAUCUAAAACGUUCUCAUCGAUUCAGCCAAUGAGAGUGCAAUCGCGUUGCCAUGGCAACGCGAGGGGUAAACAAAUGAUAAGGCACCACCACACAAGUUAAGUAACGAUCGCUGUAGGCUUCAAUAUCAUGCAAGCACUUUGUUUUCUUUUUAUUUUGUUCUACAUCACAAUUGCAUGCUUUAAUAAAGUAUUGUCUUCUUCAAUAGGUCCAUGCUCGAACCUCCUUGUUCGCCCAAGCUAACGUUUUACGCGACACGUCCAUUGUCCAGAAUAAUACCUUGCAGUUUAUUUUUAUCCCCAUGUCACGCCCACUUUUGGCGGUGGAAACGCGCACCGUGCCGCAACUUUGCGAACCGAACCGAACGCACCCUCCGGUGGAAAACGCGCCAAAAGAGAAUUUUUCAGCGGGUCACCAGUUGUGUUGAUACAUACUAGAUAUAGCCGAGAGAAGUCGCUGCUUUGCAGCAUGCAAAACAGCGAGUUCCGCGCCCUUGAGACACCGCGCCCUUGAGACACCUGGUCCAGGCCAAGAAGAAAAAUAAAUAAUGGCAUACUCCUAUUGCCCUGUCCUCCCACCUCUUUUAUUCUUCUCAAUAUUCUUUCUUAAUUUUGUAAUAAGUUACGUACCUAUUGGGGCUGCCCUUGCACAUGAUAAAUUAAUGCUUUGUUCGUAAUUGUGCGCAGUCCUGUAAUUUUUUUUUAGCUUGUGAAUAACCCUAAUACAUAAAAAAAUGUAAAAGAAAACUCCCCGGAGUAUAAACCUGGAACCCUAUAGUGGGUCUGUGUUUUUCUCAGCUCACGCAUCAUUCUCACCUUUUUCACCCCGAGCCAGUUUGCAUGCCUGAGUCUUCCUUGUGGUCACUUGCCAUAACACUGUCAUGUGUUUUAUGAAAACACCAUCAGUACAUUUAAAUUGAGUUGAUGUGGACGGCCCUUUUUUUUGUCCGAUUUCUUCAGUGUUCAGUGCCUGUUUGUGAGAUAUGCAUUGUUUGAAAGAUAAGCCUUUGAUUUUGUUUAAUUUUAAUAUGUCUUUCAUCAACAGUGGUUUGGGGUUUUAUAACAACAAUUAAACUGCUUAACUACUGGUGAACGAUGUUGCAGAACAUAUAUGGUUUGUGUUGAUUGCAUGGAAAAGGGAAUAACCAGUUACAACUUAUAUGGUAAGAGCCUGCACAGUAAAAAAACAUAGUGUCAAUUUUACUCUUUAAAGGUGCGGCCACACCAGACGCGUAUCUCGCGUACUUCGCGUAUGAAAUCGCCAUUUUCUCCAUAGGGAACCAUUGGUUUACGCGCGUAUUACGCGUAUUACGCGUAUUUUCGCGUAUUAAGCAACAUUUUACGCGCGUAUAGCGCGUAUGUGGCGCGUAUAUUUACGCGCAAUACGCGCUAUACGCGCGUAUAUCGCGUACAUUUCAAAAGAGUUCAAAAAAUUGAACUUUUUACGCGAAGUACGCGAGAUACGCGUCUGACGAGACACGCAUUGCCCAAUCAGCGUUGAGCUUGACCCGACGUCACUGGCAGAGAGUAGUGAGCUUGGACAGAGCAUACGGCCGACAUCUUCCUUUUUUCUGUGUGGAAAUAGUAACAUAGUUACGCCAUUAAAUGCUUUUAUGGAAACAUUUCUAGCGAGAAAUGUGCAUUUUACUUUCAUAAUGUUCACUCGGUGAAUGUGAAGGAUGUUUGGUUUGAUAGUUAUGACGAAGAAGGGAACGCUCCGUUCACUUGCAUGGACAGAGUCUCUGGUUACUAAGCAACCUCAACGUCUUGGCGGACUAUUUCUCUGCUGGGAAACACACCAGGACACACCAUGUGAAGUUAUUUUAACCCGAUUAUUGUUAUUUAUAUCCGAGAUUAUUUAAUCUAACCCGAUCUAAACUCUAUCACCCAAACACGGCGGCGUUGGGGUUUCCUACCUCGGACUCCAGCGCAGCCACGGCCGACAACUUUCUUUAUUCUGGGUGGAAAUAGUAACAUAGUUACGCCAUUAAAUGCGUUUAUGGAAACAUUUUUAGCGAGAAAUGUGCAUUUUACUUUCGUAAUGUUCGCUCGGUGAAUGUGAAGGAUGUUUGGUUUGAUAGUUAUGACGAAUAGGGAACGCUCCGUUCACUUGCAUGGACAUGGACUCAUCUAGGCGAGUGACGUAGGCGCGUAUAGCGCGUAUUGCGCGUAUGCGACCAUUUUUGACACAAAAUGGUCAAGCAACAUUUUACUCGCGUAUCUCGCGUAAAAAGUACGCGAGAUACGCGUCUGGUGUGGCCGCACCAUAAGAGUUGAAUUUAACUCUGUGUCAGAUAACAUUUGGUCCCACCCUAAAUUAGUGUAAAAUUUACUCUGUAGCCAGUGUAAGAUUUUCAGAGUUAAUAUUACUCUAUUUUGUGUCACAAUUUACAAUGAAAUGUGUAAAAAC